UUCAGAGGUUCAUAGAAGGCAUUUAGGAACCAGCUUAUAAAAAUUAAUGUUUUCUUCUUUUAUAGGAAAUAUGCACCAUUCUAUUUCAGUAUGGAAAAAAUACGGACCUUGUCACUGAUCAUUUUUCAUGGACUAUUUAUUUAGGUUUUGAGCAGCUCAGAAGCCUUUUUAUUCCUUUUGAGCUCCCCUUGGGAUGCUGAAGAGAAUAAAGAUUUCUCCCUUCCAAUACCGUGCACACAUUUCACUGUGGGAACUGUCACCAAACUAAACAAAAAACUGAGUCCAAGCACCUUCCACCUCGUUGGCCAAAAAAGACCCAAACGGCCCUCAUAUUUUUAUUUUUGCUUGUGCGCCUGCGAUAUUAAGCAGCUAACAACAAUCUGAGAAUUAAGUUACCACAAUUAGGAAUUAGAAGCAGGUGGCAUAAUAAUGGCGCUUUUUUCAUUUCAUUUAUUAGCAAAAAGAGAGAGAGGAGCUUCAUUUAUUUUCAUCAGCGCCUCAGUAAAAGCAUAGCAAUUUGCAACACAAAAAUCAUUUCAAGUACCUCAGCCUUGUGCAAACCUUUUUUUUUUUUGUUGUUGUUCCUUUAAAAGCCUUUUAAAGUUCACCACCUCCCCCGCCCAACCCCAUUCUGAAAGGACGUGCGUGUGUGUGGAGAGUGGCUGUGAAAGCGACACGGGCUCUGUGGGAAGAGAAGUAAGGAGGACUUCUGGGAAGGAAACGAGGUUCUCGGAUGAGCAGGGGCUGUGAUAUGAAAGUGAUCAAGAGUAUUUGUCUUCACUUUCAAAGAGCGUAAAGUGAAAGAAAGGAGGAAGUCCACACCCUUGGGUUUGGGGGCAUCGGAUCCAGUGUGCAAUGUGAGAAGUAAAAUGAAGAGGAGAAAUGAUCUAGAGAGACUUUCUGAUGAAGCAAACACCAGAUAUCCUAGAAUUUCAGCAAAUCUAAGACUCCGUCAAGUGUUAGAUGCCCCAUUAUUUUAUGUAUUAUUAAUAAAGAAAAAAACACUGCCAAUUAUAAUUGGC
rnacentral:lncRNA from 10 species